rnacentral:rRNA from 1 species
AGAGUUUGAUCAUGGCUCAGAACGUACGCUGGCGGCACGCCUAACACAUGCAAGUCGAACGAAGUAGCAAUACUUAGUGGCAGACGGGUGAGUAACAUGUGGGUAUCUGCCCUUUGGCCUGGAAUAACACGAGGAAACUUGUGCUAAUACCGGAUAAGUCUUUACGGAGAAAGCUUUAUGCACCAUUGGAUGAGCCCGCACUUGAUUAGUUUGUUGGUGGGGUAAUGGCCUACCAAGACUGUGAUCAAUAGCUGAUUUGAGAGGAUGAUCAGCCACAUUGGGACUGAGACACGGCCCAAACUCCUACGGGAGGCAGCAGUGGGGAAUCUUGCACAAUGGAGGAAACUCUGAUGCAGCGAUGCCGCGUGAGUGAAGAAGGCCCUUGGGUUGUAAAGCUCUUUCGUCGGGGAAGAAAAUGACUGUACCCGAAUAAGAAGGCCCGGCUAACUUCGUGCCAGCAGCCGCGGUAAUACGAAGGGACCUAGCGUAGUUCGGAAUUACUGGGCUUAAAGAGUUCGUAGGUGGUUGAAAAAGUUAGUGGUGAAAUCCCAGAGCUUAACUCUGGAACUGCCAUUAAAACUUUUCAGCUAGAGUAUGAUAGAGGAAAGCAGAAUUUCUAGUGUAGAGGUGAAAUUCGUAGAUAUUAGAAAGAAUACCAAUUGCGAAGGCAGCUUUUCUGGAUCAUUACUGACACUGAGGAACGAAAGCAUGGGUAGCGAAGAGGAUUAGAUACCCUCGUAGUCCAUGCCGUAAACGAUGUGUGUUAGACGUUGGAAAUUUAUUUUCAGUGUCGCAGCGAAAGCGAUAACACACCGCCUGGGGAGUACGACCGCAAGGUUAAACUC